rnacentral:rRNA from 1 species
CAGCCGCCGCGGUAAUACCGGCGGCCCGAGUGGCGGUCACUAUUAUUGGGCUUAAAGCGUCCGUAGCCGGGUUGGGAAGUCCUCCGGGAAAUCUGGCCGCUUAAAGGUCAGAAUGCCGGAGGAUACUCCCAGCCUAGGGAGCGGGAGAGGCCGAGGGUAUUCCCGGAGUAGGGGUGAAAUCCUAUAAUCCCAGGAGGACCACCAGUGGCGAAGGCGCCCGGCUGGCACGCGCCCGACGGUGAGGGACGAAAGCUGGGGGAGCAAAGGGGAUUAGAUACCCCCGUAGUCCCAGCUGUAAACGAUGCGGGCUAGAUGUUGGGCGGGCCUCGAGCCCGCCCAGUGUCGUAGGGAAGCCGUUAAGCCCGCCGCCUGGGGAGUACGGCCGCAAGGCUGAAACUUAAAGGAAUUGGCGGG